GGGCUUCUUCUCCCUUGAGGAAUAAUGAAUUAGGGUUGAGAGGCUCUCUCCUCCAGGGGCCAGGUGGUCUGGUUUUAUAGUCCCUUCAAGUGAAUAUGGGCCGUUGGAUCAAACCGACUUUGAUUGAACGGUUAUCCUUGAUCCUUUAGGUCGGUGGAGAUUGAUCCGGAAAGAGAGUCCUGUUUGGACUCUAGGAGGGGCGGGCGCCCAGGUCAACUGGGCGGGCGCCCAGUGCCUGGCCCCAUUCGGCCUCCGCUUCCUUCCCGUGG
rnacentral:lncRNA from 1 species